GAUUUCAACUGAAAAAGUCAUCAAUAACAAAAUGGUAUAACUCAUCAAGAUCUAUAGCUUCUAUUUUGGUCAUUUCUUUAUCGGACAAAGUGAUUUAUAACAUUAUUCACAAAAUGUACAUCUCUUAUAUAGUUUUAUAGAAACUACAUAAUAGUUUUAUAGAAACUACAUAAGAGAUGUAGAUUUUGUGAACAAUCUUACAAAUCACUUUAUCGGAUAAAGAAAUAAUCAAAAUAGAAGUUAUAGAUCUUGAUGAGUUAUACAACUUUGUUAUCGACGACUUUUUCAGAUGAAAUC
rnacentral:pre_miRNA from 1 species